rnacentral:lncRNA from 1 species
UUAAAAAGGAAAAAGGCAUAGUUCGCAUAAAAAGGGUACUCAAAGAACUUGUAUACGCGUUAUAUUCCUUAAAAGGAAAAAGGCAUCAUUAGGGGCUUGGCUAAAACAUUAUCAGAGUUUGCAACGGAAGGCGUAACUGAAAUAAUCAGUGUUUACAGCGGAAAGCAUAACUGUGAUACAUGUAUGAAGACAUGUAUCCUUUCUGAGCC